rnacentral:lncRNA from 1 species
ACCACAAGUGUUUGCAUCUCUCACAAGAGAAGCAAAGAGCUCUAAAUGCAUCUGUAGCCAUCUCAAGUCUCAGAAUAAGAAGCUAGAAGGGAGGAAUUGCAAUUUACUAUUCUUUCCUGGAUUCUACUGUGAAACUCUGAGGGAAGACUUUAGGGAAUAUCCUGCUUCUCGUGUCAACUGUGCCUCACUUCUACCACUGAAACCACAAUUCACUGACAGCAAUCGUCCUGCCAUUCUACACUUCAGGAAGAAAAGAGCCAGCUGGUAA